UCGGGAAUUUUGGGCAAUGGGCGAAAGCCUGACCCAGCAACGCCGCGUGAAGGAUGAAGUAUUUCGGUAUGUAAACUUCGAAAGAAUAGGAAGAAUAAAUGACGGUACUAUUUAUAAGGUCCGGCUAACUACGUGCCAGCAGCCGCGGUAAUACGUAGGGACCAAGCGUUGUUCGGAUUUACUGGGCGUAAAGGGCGCGUAGGCGGCCAACUAAGUCAAACGUGAAAUCCCUCGGCUUAACCGGGGAACUGCGUCUGAUACUGGAUGGCUUGAGGUUGGGAGAGGGAUGCGGAAUUCCAGGUGUAGCGGUGAAAUGCGUAGAUAUCUGGAGGAACACCGGUGGCGAAGGCGACAUCCUGGACCAAUUCUGACGCUGAGGAGCGAAAGCCAGGGGAGCAAACGGGAUUAGAUACCCUAGUAGUCCCUGAGCGGGCUGGCAAGGCGCAU
rnacentral:rRNA from 1 species